UGAAUAUUUUCUCAUCGUUGCUUAGUGUGCACGGCAUUGGCAGUGACCUUAAUAGAGAACAGUCAACUCAUUAAGGCACUUCCAAGCCGUACACAAACAUUGCAACGCAAAUUAUGUCUUUG
rnacentral:precursor_RNA from 14 species